UUUAAUCAAAAAGCUAGUGUUUUUUAAUAGUUUUCUUAGUUAGAUUUUAUUUAGGUCAAGCUAUUUAACUUUUCUAUAUUUUAUUAGUCUAAGAAUAAUUAAGUAAUAUUGUUAUCAUUAUAUUUUAUGGAGAAAAUAUAAACAAAAUAACCAAAAAGGGAAAAAGUACGAAAUCAGAAAAAAUACAAAAAAAAGAAGGUUUUUUUUUCCCUAAAAUAACUAGCCUAAAACCCCAUUCAUGCCUAAAACUCCUCUCCUUCACGUCAAUUUCCCUUCAACUAAUCCUAAAACCAAUUCCUCAACUCCUAUAAUUUCUCAACAAAUCAAAUACCUAACACUCCCUCUUCCUUACGUUCUCCUUUUAGAAAACCAAUCCUAAUCUACCCAAACCUUUCCCAUGCUAAUCCUAACCAAAAUAAACUUCCUUCCCUAAAAACUCUCCUCAAACAAUUAUCAUUAACUAGUCCUACUCCUUUACAAACUCUACAACACAACACCCACAUACCCUAUAUAAACACACACCUACACGUACAUAAAAAAAAAAAACACAUCGGAGGUAGUAGAGAGAAAAAAAAGAAAAAAAAAAAGUAAAAAGAAAAGAUAAAAACAGAGAGCAAAAAAUACCGAGAGAUAAAGAAUACCAGUAUUCCAAAAGGUUUUUGUUUGAAAAUUAAAUUGGAGUUCGAGGUUUCCGUUUCGCGGUUUCGAGUUCGCGGACUUGAAGUUAGUCGUUAUUAACUGGGAAAUCGGUAGAAUAUUGUAGCUUCAUAUUAUUAUUUUUCAGCGAGAUAUUUACGCAAAGGUUCGCCCGCAAGCACAGAAUUGAUAUUCAAGAAUGAAGUUCCAUCAUUGGUCAGAGAAAAGAAGAAUGUUCAAUCUCGAAGACAGUUAGAGUCAGCUUUGACACAUAAGGCGGCCCAGCAUCUCAAGAUACAUCUUCUCAGCUUUUAAUCAAGAAACAAGCAUCCAAGAAUAUUCUACGGACUGUCAUUUGGAAUAGCAUCAACAACUCAUUCCAAGUUACCAGUUCAAGCCCCAAAUUCUAACUUCGAGAUCAAGGUACCCACCGAAAGAAGGUGGAGUGAUAACUGAAGAUCCAAGUGAAGGUUUAAAGGAAGACUGAAGACAAGUAGAAUAGAUAGGAUCUUGUAUUUCCUUUCCUCGUUUGUUGUAUUUUUCAUUUUUUUUUUGUUUUGUAAUAACAGGAGCCACGGAUCGGAACCUCGAAGGAACCUCACUCGAUUCUCCAACUCAUCAUUCCAUCCUUUUACCCACUUGAACUACACGUGACCUGAUUCCCUUAUAACCCGGGAUAUGUAGGAUGCCCAAAACCAGGACUCGGUCACAUCCUUUUCUUUUAUAUCUUUUCGCCUUUCAAAUAAUGGUCAGGUCAAAAAUCAGUCACAGUGUUCACUUCUUUGCUUGAAAACUCUUCAUGUUUCCAAGCAAAGAGGGACAUUCUGUAAACACCUAAUUUUUGACCGAACAUAAGUUUUUACAUCA